GACGAACGCUGGCGGCGUGCCUAAUACAUGCAAGUCGAACGCACAGUUUAUACCGUAGCUUGCUACACCAUAGACUGUGAGUUGCGAACGGGUGAGUAACGCGUAGGUAACCUGCCUGGUAGCGGGGGAUAACUAUUGGAAACGAUAGCUAAUACCGCAUAAUAUUAAUUAUUGCAUGAUAAUUGAUUGAAAGAUGCAACUGCAUCACUACCAGAUGGACCUGCGUUGUAUUAGCUAGUAGGUGAGGUAACGGCUCACCUAGGCGACGAUACAUAGCCGACCUGAGAGGGUGAUCGGCCACACUGGGACUGAGACACGGCCCAGACUCCUACGGGAGGCAGCAGUAGGGAAUCUUCGGCAAUGGACGAAAGUCUGACCGAGCAACGCCGCGUGAGUGAAGAAGGUUUUCGGAUCGUAAAGCUCUGUUGUAAGAGAAGAACGGGUGUGAGAGUGGAAAGUUCACACUGUGACGGUAGCUUACCAGAAAGGGACGGCUAACUACGUG
rnacentral:rRNA from 1 species